rnacentral:rRNA from 1 species
UACGUAGGUGGCAAGCGUUGUCCGGAUUUACUGGGCGUAAAGAGCGCGCAGGCGGUCGUGCAAGUCGCGUGUGAAAGCCCCCGGCUCAACUGGGGAGGGUCACGCGAUACUGUUCGACUCGAAGGCAGGAGAGGGAAGCGGAAUUCCCGGUGUAGUGGUGAAAUGCGUAGAUAUCGGGAGGAACACCAGUGGCGAAGGCGGCUUCCUGGCCUGUUCUUGACGCUGAGGCGCGAAAGCUAGGGUAGCAAACGGG